rnacentral:lncRNA from 1 species
UAGUUUCCAUCCCCCCAAAUAACACCUGUUUGGAUAACUUUUUUACGCGUAUACAACGCGCCUAAGGAAAAUAUAAUACUCCUUAGAGCUCUGUUUCGUUGCUCUUUCAAAAAAAUAUUGUAUAACAAACGGCACCUCCUCAUCAAGCAUAUCACCCAUCCACCUAUUUAUCGUUUCCUUUCUUUGUCAUUAACAUUCUCUAUCCCUUUGAUUAAACGCACCAAAAACCAACCCUCUCUCUCUCUCCCUCCCUCCCUCCCUCCCUCCUCUUAACCCAGUCAACCCCCUUUCUUCUAUCUUCUCUAAAUCAUGAGUUACUACAACCAGAAUCAGCCUCCCGUUGGUAAUCCUCCUCCUCAAGGUCAGUUCAUCAAUUUUAAUUUGUUCGUUUUGGGUGUUUUUGCUUGUUUGAUGAAUUUAUUAGAUCUAUUGGGAAUUUUGUGUUGAGGUUUGAUGAUUUGUUCAUUACAGGUUAUCCUCCUCAGGAUUACCCAAAGGACGCAUACCCGCCACCGGGAUACCCUCCACAAGGAUACUCACAACCAGGGUACCCGCAACAGGGGUACCCUCCUCAGGGCGGCUAUCCGCCCCAAUACGCUCCUCAGUACGCUCAGCAGCAGCCUCAACAAAGCAAAAGCAGUGGUCUCGUGGAAGGCUGGUAUGCGCUUCAAUUUUCUCUAUCCUAUUAUACAUGUAUGUAUGUAUAUAUAUAUAUAUAUAUAUAUAUAUUUCUAUAUAUGCAUGAAUGAGAUCUGGAUGAUCUGGGUUGUGAUGUGAUUAUGAGUUGGUGAACGGGUCAACUCAGUUGGGCGGUCGGUGGGGAGCCGUCAAAUGACAUGAUCAGAGUCAAUUCCGAAACAGCCCUCUAAUGUUGGUUUAGAGGGUAUUUCGGUCAUUCUCUAAUCUGCUGAUGGUGUGCGUAGGUGCUCUUGACUAUAGUAGUAUUUGGGUACCUAGGUAUGAUGUUCCUCCGUAUUUUUUCAAGAGUGGGGCUAGUAUUUUGGAUGUGGUUCAUUUGUUUGAAAUAAUAAAAAGAAUAAAGACGAGUUCUUGUUAACACACACUUACUUGAUGCAGUUUGGCUGCUCUCUGCUGUUGCUGUCUAUUGGAUGCGUGCUUUUGAUGAGAAUUUGUGGAUGGUGAUCUUUCAGUGUGGCAGCAUCAUUCAUAUACCCUCUCUUUUCUAUCUUCUAUUUUGAAAAAAUAAUUGGACUACAAAUGUACCUUGGUGGUAGUAAUUCUUGUGGAACGGAAGAGAUAUUCUGGUCUUAAGUUCACUAGUUUUAUCUCCAUUGCUAAAAAUCAACUUUGUUAUAAAUUCUUCACAUUUAAAUCAUCCACUCGCGCAUGGUAGAAAAGGAAUAAGUAUUUGCUUUGGGGGGUUUGAAGGAAUAUUAUGAUUGGGUUUAUGAAUGUUUCAUGUUGUAUAUCAAUUAUGAAUGAAUUGGCAUGUACUCCAUUUGAAGAAUUCAAAACUUGUAAAAAGAUAUUAAUAUUCAUAGAAUUUAUUUGAUUUUGACUAACAUAAUCAUAAUUAUUUUAAAUUAUCUACAAGUUAUCUUUAUAAUACUUUUUAAAAAUUCGUAUGAAUCACUAAUUUAAAAUUUAUGAGUUAUUUCAAAAAGUUAAAAUGGAACUUAUUUUAUUUCAAUGAACCCUAGGCAUUUUCUAAAACACGCCCAAACUUGUUCUGAUUCAUGGAAUAUCUGCGUUAUCCCUUGUCAUGAUAUCGUUUUGAUCUACCCCGGUUAUAAUUAAUUGUAUUCCAUAUUCUUAUACAAACAUUGGUUCACUUGUUUCAAUAGGAUAUGAAAUUAACUUCAUGUAAGUUGGUUAAUUGACCAAUACAGUGCUGAUACGCAUAAAUAGAUCACCUUUUGUCUGUAUGUAUGUCGACAAUAUAAUGGUCAAUUAACCAAAAUUGACUUAAUAUUAACUACUCCCAUCUCAAUAAAAUAAAAGGAUUAACUACAAAAGUGAGUGUCAAAAUUUUUAUAUUUAGUGUUAAG